rnacentral:rRNA from 1 species
UACGUAGGGUGCAAGCGUUGUCCGGAAUUAUUGGGCGUAAAGAGCUCGUAGGCGGUUUGUUGCGUCGGCUGUGAAAUCCCGAGGCUCAACCUCGGGUCUGCAGUCGAUACGAGCAAACUAGAGUGUUGCAGGGGAGACUGGAAUUCCUGGUGUAGCGGUGAAAUGCGCAGAUAUCAGGAGGAACACCUAUUGCGAAGGCAGCUCGCUGGGACGUAACUGACGCUGAGACGCGAAAGCGUGGGGAGCGAACAGG